UCACUUUCAGUAUUUACUCGUAACAUUCAACAAGUGGUUUUCAGUUUCUGUCUAGUUUUUAUACUAAUUCUAAGCAUUGUUUAGUGCUAUAGUGAGUGGAAUUAGUGCAUCAAAGUGUUAAUUAAAGUCAGUGAGAAACUGUGUUAAUUAAAGUGAUUUCAACCAAAUCAAAGUUUCAAAAGCCGGCAAAGAGUGAUAAACUAAAAGGGAAAACCCAAUCAAAGGGCACUUUUCAAUGAGCGGCAACACCUUGUAGGCCCAAAAGCCCCACAAACCGGCAGCACAACUAAGCCAUUGGCCUGGUCCGAAAACCGCAAGCACCAAGGACGAGGGCCACACGAGGAUGAGGUGACUCUAGGGCGAUAGACAAAGUGUAUCAAUUAUAAUACGGGCGCACAAGGCGAACGACCCAGAGCCUGGAGCAAAAUAAAGGGGACACCAGCAGGAGUCCAGGCUCCCGGAUUCAGGAAUAGAAGCCAGGGCACUGCGAAA